rnacentral:misc_RNA from 1 species
UCUCCGUAGGUGAACCUGCGGAGGGAUCAUUACAGAGUUCAUGCCCUACCGGGUAGAUCUCCCACCCUAUGUUAUUAUUACUUUGUUGCUUUUGCGGGCCGUUAGGCUCCGGCCCGACUACCGGCCCCGGCUGGUAAGCGCCCGCCAGAGGACCCAAAACCCUGAAUAUUAGUGUUGUCUGAGUACUAUAUAAUAGUUAAAACUUUCAACAACGGAUCUCUUGGUUCUG